AAAAGAUCUUUACCAAUCCUACAACAGAUAGAGGCCUUAUAUCCAAAAUAUACAAAGAACUCAAGAAGUUAGACCGCAGGGAAACAAAUAACCCUAUUAAAAAAUGGGGCUCAGAGCUAAACAAAGAAUUCACAGCUGAGGAAUGCCGAAUGGCUGAGAAACACCUAAAGAAAUGUUCAACAUCUUUAGUCAUAAGGGAAAUGCAAAUCAAAACAACCCUGAGAUUUCACCUCACACCAGUGAGAAUGGCUAAGAUCAAAAACUCAGGGGACAACAGAUGCUGGCGAGGAUGUGGAGAAAGAGGAACACUCCUCCAUUGUUGGUGGGAUUGCAAACUGGUACAACCAUUCUGGAAAUUAGUCUGGAGGAUCCUCAGAAAAUUGGACAUUGAACUGCCUGAGGAUCCAGCUAUACCUCUCUUGGGCAUAUACCCAAAAGAUGCCCCAACAUAUAAAAAAGACACGUGCUCCACUAUGUUCAUAGCAGCCUUAUUUAUAAUAGCCAGAAGCUGGAAAGAACCCAGAUGCCCUUCAACAGAGGAAUGGAUACAGAAAAUGUGGUACAUCUACACAAUGGAAUAUUACUCAGCUAUCAAAAACAAUGACUU
rnacentral:lncRNA from 1 species